rnacentral:miRNA from 1 species
UCCGGACUUAGCGAAAACGCA